GCAAAACCAUUCAUUUGCUGAAAACGUGUGUUUAACUUAAAAGUAAACCAUUUUCUGUGUUAAUGACAUUUGGUCAAUUAUUGAGAGCUUGAAGUACACAAAAUGCCAUCAAAAUUAGUGCUUUUAUAUCAUCAAGGAAAAUAAAUCGGAAAUUUAUUUGCUCAUAAACUAAGAUAGUUAAAGUUUAUAAGAUAUGAUACAGAAAUGUGUAUCUGUUCUACAGCUUCGGGUUCGAACGUAUUGGAGAACAAUGUGUGUUUUAGUGAUAUUAACUCUGACCGUGUUUAUAGUUUGGACAAUAUCAUACGAUGUGUUGACAGUAGCUGGCGUCAAAAAACCGGUCCAAACUGAUGCUCGCAAUAUUGCAAAAUCAAUGCGCCCAAGUUUGUUAAAUAUCUUAAAUAUAUCCGACACUGGCAGAACAGGCUA